rnacentral:rRNA from 1 species
AUUGAACGCUGGCGGAAUGCUUUACACAUGCAAGUCGAACGGCAGCAUGGGGGCAACCCUGGUGGCGAGUGGCGAACGGGUGAGUAAUACAUCGGAACGUGCCCAGUCGUGGGGGAUAACGUAGCGAAAGUUACGCUAAUACCGCAUACGAUCUACGGAUGAAAGCGGGGGACCGUAAGGCCUCGCGCGAUUGGAGCGGCCGAUGUCAGAUUAGGUAGUUGGUGAGGUAAAGGCUCACCAAGCCGACGAUCUGUAGCUGGUCUGAGAGGACGACCAGCCACACUGGAACUGAGACACGGCCCAGACUCCUACGGGAGGCAGCAGUGGGGAAUUUUGGACAAUGGGCGCAAGCCUGAUCCAGCCAUUCCGCGUGCAGGACGAAGGCCUUCGGGUUGUAAACUGCUUUUGUACGGAACGAAAAGGCUCUGGUUAAUACCUGGGGCUCAUGACGGUACCGUAAGAAUAAGCACCGGCUAACUACGUGCCAGCCGCCGCGGUAA